AAAGGGUGCGUAGGCGGUUUAUUAAGUCAGUGGUGAAAGACGGUCGCUCAACGAUUGCAGUGCCAUUGAUACUGGUAGACUUGAGUAUGAUUGAGGUAGCUGGAAUGGAUAGUGUAGCGGUGAAAUGCAUAGAUAUUAUCCAGAACACCAAUUGCGUAGGCAAGUUACUAAGUCAUAACUGACGCUGAUGCACGAAAGUGUGGGUAUCAAACAGGAUUAGAUACCCCAGU
rnacentral:rRNA from 1 species